ACCAGCCAUGGCUCUCUGUGUGAAAGGACGAGUGUAAGCUACCUGGGAUGCAGCCACACUGGCCAGUGUCAGCAGUUUCAGACCAGGGGCUAGGAAGGGAAUGUUGGACUUUUUCCAGAAGAAUCUAGAACUCUCUGGAAGAGAUGACACGGGCCUAGGAAUAUGAGUGGGUUUUGGUCUUGUGGCUGGAAAAGAAAGACUUCUGGUCAAGGUAGAGGGACACUAUCAUCUGGAUCCUGCAUCUAUCUGGAGAUCCCAUAUUCUGUGGCUGGGCAGGAGAGCACAAAUAAGAAGCAAACAAAAGAGGCUAGGGAAGGCUCUCUGCACCAACACUCUGAAAACUAGAGGUCCAGGCUGCUACUCUGACAGCCUCUCAUCCAGCUCACCAAUGGAGGCCUCAGGAGUUGCCCAACAAAACAAGCAUCUACCAGGUACCAAGGUGGCUGCUGCUGUCCUCAUCAUGAGCCUUGCCCUGUAAUGAGGACAGAGGAGCCUCAGUUCGCUCAGCUGAAGUGAUCCGCACGUUACGGGGCUUGUGUGAACAUGUGUGAAAUGAGGCAUCGGCACCUCCAGCACAAGGGCCAGUGCUCGGAAGAGGACACAGAAGAAAGCACCAUUUUGACCUGUGAAAUAAAGGUGCCGAGGGACAGUGGUCGACAGCUGAGAACUGACGCAGGGAAAGCGAACGAACAUCUACAGGACGCUGCUCUAUACACAGUAUUAAUUGUGCUCCAGCUAUAGGGGCACAGUGCUGGCCUCCUCUACAUGAAGUCUCUCCUUGACCAGCUCUGAUGAUAAAUGAGUCUGACAAGGAGGUCUCCUCUUCGAUUCAUAUAAUUAAUUAUCCCUUGAGAAGUGGCCAAUUUAGGAGCGCGUUUUUCUUUUUGAAGAGACAGACUGGCCGACUAACCGAAGGCCACAGGAGAGGUUCCACAGCCAGCCAAGCCCAGCAGCACCACCAGGCAAGAGCACUUGGAAGUCCUUGGAAACCUCCUUCCGAGGUUCACAGUUCUCCCUGGUGAUUUGGGAAAAAGGUGAGAGUGGCUAUUAUAUUAGUGAAGAUGUCAGAAGUGGAGAAGAGCAAAGCUGUUCUGCUGGGUGCCCGAUCUGUGAGUGACUGCAUUUCCGUGGGUAAGGGAAGGAGUGGGGCGGGAGUUUCCAAACCCUGCUCAAAGCUGCUCGCUGCAGGACAGGGUCUCCUUCCCUUCUCGUCUUUUCCCUCCCCUCCCCCAACUCUCUUUCUAAGCCCCUCUCCAAAAAGGUUUAUGGAGACGACUCCAAAUAGCCCCCUCUCCUGCAGGCAUAGUCACACCAACCGAAAGGAGAUUUAAUUAGCAAAAUCUCGUUAGGCAAACGAAAUUAUCCGUAAGACAAUACUCUUCUGGACAGGGGGUAUGAUUAAACAAAGCCAUUAAUUGAGAGAGUCGUUUUGGCAGCUCCCGAGUUGCGUUCAUCUCCGGGCAGGCUCCACUCUGCCUCCGUGGACCUGGGAAACAGACUCUCGGCCUCCUCCCCUGCCUGCCUAACCCAUCUCUUCUCCACUUCAUCUCUGCUCUUCCCAGGGCCCCUCCGGUUAGGGCUGCAGACCUCCGCAUCUCAUCAGCGGCCUCUCUGCUGCCAGAUUCCCGCUAAAGUGCCUUGAUUGCAUAAUGUCUAUUUGCAUAAUGUAAAUUGCAAUCUCCUAGCUUGGGAGGCAGGAAUCACAGAACAGCCAUUAUUUUUUACCACUCCACAAAAAUUCUACGUUUAGAAAGCAGAUUUGCAGCACAGAAAGCCAUAUAAAUCUGAAUCUGCCAAAACGCCAUUAAAUCACACUAAUUAAGCUGGACCUAGGCAGAGUCCAUCCCUGCUCUCUGUUCACUCCAGUCCACAGAAGGUCAUAUAACACAAGAGAGGCCCAGACAGUAGGGCUAGAAGCAGAUGCUGAAGGGACCAGGCAGGGGACUCUUUCUUACAAACUUGAUCAGCACACUACCCAUAACAUCCCUCUACACAUAAACACACACACACACACACCCCUGGUAUAACAAGGAGGUUUAUUGUCUCAUGCUUUGUAGGUUGUACUUGUCUUGGCUGAGAUUUCCUUAUUAUUAUUAUUAUUAUUAUUAUUAGUAGUAGUAGUAGUAGUAGUAGUAGUAGUAGUAGUAAUAGUAGUAGUAAUAUUAAUAAUAAUUUUUUAUUUUGGGGGGUCUCUUUAUGUUAUCAUAGCUGGCCUGGAACUAGCUAUAUAGGCCAGACUGGUCUCAGAAACAGAGAUCUGCCUGUUUCUGCCUCAGUGAUUGAGACUAAAAGUGUGCCCUGCUGUGCCCAGUUUGCUGCAGACUUGUGAUUUGGAGAACAAAGGUAACUGCACCUUUAAGCAAAACCAAUGGGAGGCUUGAGCCAGGUACUUCACAGGAUUCAAAUCAAUUCCUAUCAGCUCUUUCUUAACCUUUCCUCUUCUCUGAGGGGAAGAGAAAGAGGGAGGGCAAAACCCUGGCUCUGACUAAACUGUUCUAGAUGGAGUCUGAGUUCCCUGAAGAGCCCUCUCUGAGGGUCCUUGGAGAGAGGGGUGAGUCCCAAGGUCUGGAAGUGUGGUACUCGCUUGGACAACCACCCAGCACUCUGGCUUCUCUGAGCAGUGUACCUGGAUACUCUUCUGCUUCUUUAUUGCUCAUUCAAUAUUAAUUUGUCAAAGGGCAAGAUGCUAAUGUGUAUUAUUAAAAUAUCAAUAGUUUAUGAGUGAACUUUAUGGCAAGUACAGUUAUAGGCAAGAUUCUUGACAAUCUCUCCCAAGUAACGGAAAGGAAUGAUCUUUCUCCCCUAGCUUCUUUCUUUCUAGUCUUUCUAAUUUUUUUUUUAAAAAAAUUUACUGGCAAAGUCACCAUUGAGCACUGAGUGCCAGGAAUGAGUACUCAUGGCUGGUUUUCCCCACAGUGGUCCUAGGAAGUGGAUACAAUGUGAUUCCUUUAAGUGAUCAAAUUUAACAGGUUUCUUGACCUACCUUUCAUGAGAGAGUAAAAAAGAGGAAAUUAUUCCAUAUCUUUAUGCCAAACAACCUUUGUAAAGUAGGCUCACUUUUACUCUGCCUGAGUAAGUCCCAGACUCUGCACUUAGAAUCUGAGUGCUGAAGGUAACACUGGACGUGAUCAGCAGACAUUUUCUUGUUAGAGGAGAAUAAACUGAGUAUCCUUCUUUUGGAGAAGAGAGAGGAGAUUCUGAGACAGGGUUUCUUGGUAUAUCCCUGGCUAUCUUUGAAUUCAUUCUGUAGACCAGGUUGGCCCUGAACUCUUUCUUUUGAAUUAGAUUUUAUUAUUAAAUUAGAUUCUCUUAAAUUAGAUUUCGUUAAUACAAUAAUUAUACACAUUAAAGGGGAUUGUCUAUAGAUUCGUACAAUACACGCUGAGCAAAUGAUGAAGCAGCUCAAGUCUUGAUGAUAAUUCUAAGUUGAAUUUCAACUGCUCCAUAGACUCCCUUCCUGUGGUACUUUCUUUGUCCUCUAGGCCUUCUCUUCUUUGUACCUACAGAGCUAAUAACAGAAUCCCAUAGCAUAGGGUGAGUGAGAAAAUGCACCCCAGAGGUUUAGCAUAGUGAACACUCGGCAAGCAUUGCUUACCAAUAUUAAAUUUGACUUCAUGAGUCACCACCUACCCCUCUUCUCUGCCUGGCUCCUGGUACUAGCCAUUCCCAAGUGUCUGCCCUCAUACGAUGGACUAGUUCUGUUUCUAUCUGCUCUUUGGUGGCUUGGGAUUCAUUUAAGUCACAAUUAGGAAACCAAAACACCCAGAUUCUCUUCAAAAUUUAGCAGCAUCUUUAUCAGGCAUGGGAAAGGUGAAGAGAGUGGUCCCUUAAAAGUCCCUUAAGUCUCUCCCAAGUCGGAAUGUGGGAUAGAGGGAAAAGAGACUAGCAGAGUAGUUGGAGAGACCAGGGAGAGAUCAGUGUGCAGGAUUCCUCAACCCCAUGAAGUGCCUUGUAGUUUCUUAAGCUCUGAGAUUUACCUGGAACCUACCCCGACUUUGAUGGCCAUGGCAAUGGAGAUGUGGAAAAAGGGUCCAGGCUUGUAGAGUCCCUGCUCACAGGUCUAGAAUCCUCUAGAUCUAAGAUUCCAAGCUGUGGGUUAUAAGUUACAUACUGGACUAAUUCUCCCUGGUAUGAGCCAUGAUGUUACAGUUCCUCCCAGCACAGGACCUGUUAGAACUACCACACCGUGCCUGAGAAGAGGCUGAGUUUGGCUUUGGAGGGUUUCCAAGGCUAAGGUUUCUUUCCAGAGUGUAAUGUGUGUUAUGUUGGUAAAUCGCCACGUGUUGUUUAAGUGCCCUGAGAUGCUGACUCUGGGAGCAGGAUUGCCCCUCAGCCCACUUCAGAUCCAAGCAUGCUUAUGCCCCCUGAAAGAAAGUCCUGAGUCAGGCCGGCCUUCUGGCUCUGUGAAGAAACAAAAAAACCAACCAGUAAGCAGCUAAGGGUGUUAAAAUCAUCAUGCCCUUGAAAAGAGCCUGGAGGUAAACCCUUUCCAACCAAGGUUACUACUGUUUAUCCCCUAAUGUGAAAAAUGUCUCCUGUGGGAACAGGAGGCCAGAAGCUCAGCUUCGAGAAGUUAACCUAUAGAUGGGAACUGCAAAUGGGGACUUGGCUGGCUGCCUCAACUUCCCCAGUUGGUUUCUUCUGGAUGACUAAGUAGCUGGUUUGACCAUGUCACUUUCCUGCUGUUAUUUGUUCUUUCAUUUGAGGCCUCACUCACAGGAGGGGACUCUGCUCUGCUUAGGGCUCUCUGUUGUGGGCUCCAGCUGGCCGCCUCGGCGGGCGGGGCUCCCUGAGUUUCUACUAGAUGUUCGUAAGCCCUGCUUUGAUGAUAUUACCUUUUGUCUGUACUCUCGGUCAGGAUAUUCCAAUUGCCUCCACCACCUGAUUUGAUGAUACUUUCGACGCCCGCUGCUUCUAUGGCCACUCGCUAUUUAUUCUUUUAUCUUUCCUUUGCUAUCUACUUAAUAAAUUUGUCCUCUUAAAACUGAAAGCACAGGCUGGAGAGAUGGCUCAGUGGUUAAGAGCACUGCCUGCUCUUCCGGAGGUCCUGAGUUCAAAUCCCAGCAACCACAUGGUGGCUCACAACCAUCUGUAAUGAGAUCUGAUAUACUCUUCUGGUGUGUCUGAAGACAGUCACAGUGUACUUAUAUAUAAUAAAUAAAUCUUAAAAAAAAAACAACUGAAAGCACAGCUAUCAUAGAUCACUCUCCAGACUGCACAGAACGCAUCCUGACCCCCAGGAAGGGUCAAUUUCAUUUGUUCUGAGGAAAUAGGUAAGGCCAGUUGUGGCGGACCAAUAGCAGCUCCAGUAGGUUGGGGGGGGGGUCUCCAAAGACGAGAGCAACAGCAUAUGAUGGCUUCCAUAUCUAUAGGUUAUAUCGCAGGUUCAAUUAAUCACAGAUGGGAAAUAUUUGAUAAAUAAAGCAUCUGGAGGGAACAAGUAAGAACAGGCGCUUUUCUUUUCUUUUCUUUUUUUUUUUGUUUCCCGUUAUUUCAUAAGCGACAUAGUAUCGGCAACUAUUUACAUUGUGUUCAGUCUUAUAAAUAAUCUACAGAGGGUUUCAAGGAUGUGGGAGGAUGUGCAUGGACCAUUUGUAAGUACUAUGCCUGCCAGUAUCUGCCUCUGCGUCUUCAGAUUUUUGAGUUCUGUAAGGGGUCCAGAACCAUUCCCUGUAAACACGAAGGGAUGGUUUAAAAAAAUUAAAACAGACACACACACACACACACACACACACACACACACACUGCCACCACCAGCACCACCAGCACCCCUGUCACCACCGCCAUGAAGUCACCACCCUUGGCUCUUCUCUUAAUCGGGGUGUUGAUACUGUUGAGAGGCAGCGAGGAGGAUCUUUGUACCUGUUCUGAUAGACAGAAUGAAGCUCAGAGGGCACUACUUGACUUUAUGGAGCAAGUCAAGAAAGGCAAUGAAGCCUCCUCGUGACUUUUGCACUCCCUCAGGCUGCUUCGCUUUAGAAUCUGGCAGCCAUAUUGUAAGGAAGCCCAGAGCACAUGGAAAGGCCAUGAAGUUCUGACUGACAGGUCUCAGUCAAGAGCUAGCAUCAAAGCCCAGAAAUCUGAGUGAAUGAGCCUAGGGUGAUUCUACCAUUCAGCUUUUGAGUUGCCUUAAGUGAAAUCCCAUACCCAACAGACAGACAAGUUGCCACUCGCCGUCAGAAUAAACGUUCAUCUCCUGUGUGUUGUAGGUCAGAUUGUUACACAGCCUAAUAGGACACCACUAGAAUUAAACGCUAUGUGUUGUUUCUAGCAAACUCAGCAACAAUCAUUGGAUUCCCACGAGUUCCCUCUGAAACUUCAGAUUUUCUCUUUCCUCUCGAUCUUGUCCCUGUCACUCUGAGUCUGCUGUCUCUCCUCUUCUGCUUCCCAUCUGAGGUGGCUUUGACAACUACUACCUGAAAAACCUUUGACACUUGCCCAUUCGAGAACCCUGGGCCUGCUCUUGGGUUUUCACUGUAGUACCAAGAACGUCCCUUUAAGGGAGUGCUAGGAAUGCCAGACUCCCUUACACAAUGGGGAGGGAAGAUACAGACCAAUAUCUCUCCCACUCUCAGCUCUCAUCAAAGUUCACGCUCAGCUUGCUCUUGGCUUAUGAGAUCCCAGUAACCUCGGAUACGAGGAGACAUCGAUUCUCACAGAGGUCAUUAUCCUUUACUCCGGCUCCCUCCGAACCACACUCGCGCCCACACCCUUAUCCUCAGUUCUGGGCAGACUUUCCUGGACAGGAUGGAGAAAGGCACCCUUCCCCACACCUUCAGCCUGAGGAUUCUACCACUCCAGAGCCCGGGCUUGAGAGGAGGUGCCCUGGGAGCUGAGGCCCGUCAAUCACUCACUCAGGCAACCAGCACUGAAUUGCAGGCCAUUAGGCAGAGGACCGGCGCCCUGCUCACUCACCGGGCAGCCAUCGGCAGGAUGUUAGCCGAUCGCAAGGCGGCCAUUCUUAUGAUUUAUUCAAACGCUCAUUACAGUCAAUCUAUUUUUACACAGAGGUGAAGAUGUGCACUGAUAACGGUUAAUCAUUUAUAAUUCCAUGAACUGGUUGAAAGCCAAUGUACUAUCAAAGUCGCGGCAGUAGUUCCUCAAGCCUCAGGUAGCCCCUGAAGCAAAAAAGAGAAGUCUUUACACCAGCCCAGGAAAACCCUGUCACUUGCUAACACUUAUCAACUAGGAAGAAGGUGAGUGCCAGACCUGCCCCCACUGGAGCUUAUGCCCUGGUGGAGGGAGCACAAGUCAGAGCAGGCAGAGGGGCGGUUCGAAGACCACCAGAAGAGAGAGGUCACGUGGAGCUGGAGUUACCGAGAAGUACUGUGCAGAGGAGCCUGAACUUUGGCCAGGGUCUACAAGUGGUCAAACUAAUGCCAGGUCGGGGUGGGGGUGGGGGCAACACUUGAACCCAUCAGCCUCAAAUGAGGUGCAACCAUUUCAGCGCCGAAAGAAGAAAGAGAUCAGCAGGAUUUCCUUUCCUUUCCUUCGUACAUCCACAGAAAUAACCAAAUAAAAAAGAAAGCAUAGGCUAUGAGUAUGGCCCAGGUUGUGGUCCGAUGUCGUCCAUUCUUCCUUUCACUGCACCCCUGCUCGAUCACUGACAUAAGUGGCCAAGGAUCAGAUUGACCUUGCAAGCUAAACGCUCCCUUCCCUGGCACACAUGACACACGUAACAUAUCAAGUCCACCUUUAUGUCCACCCAAUACAGUCUAAUUAAGUAUCGUAUCACAUUAUAGAACCUCAUCGUCACAUUCAGGCAUAAUCUAAUUUCAGUCCUACCGAAUUUUACAUUCUGACUAGUUCACUGGUCAGUGUGUGUCUUCUGCAUUGUGUAGCAGUUAAAGAUCAGGCUUGGGGCUGGUCCUGAACCCAUAACCUUAUGGAAUCAGUGUGGAAACGCCAAACAAAGUUACUUACAGUUCAGGGCCUCUUUUCUAGUGAGCAGCAUGGAAGACCAGAAACCCUUUAAAGUCUUGUUCCAGGCUUCACCUGUCAAGAAAAGGAAACAUCUUUAUAAAC